rnacentral:rRNA from 1 species
UACGGAGGGGGCUAGCGUUGUUCGGAAUUACUGGGCGUAAAGGGCGCGUAGGCGGCCAUCUAAGUCAGACGUGAAAUCCCUCGGCUUAACCGGGGAACUGCGUCUGAUACUGGAUGGCUAGAGGUUGGGAGAGGGAUGCGGAAUUCCAGGUGUAGCGGUGAAAUGCGUAGAUAUCUGGAGGAACACCGGUGGCGAAGGCGGCAUCCUGGACCAAUUCUGACGCUGAGGAGCGAAAGCCAGGGGAGCAAACGGG